UGGCUGCGGCGGUGGGAGACGCGGUUCUAGCCGCGAUACCCGGCCCCAGGCGGAGGGCGGACCUCGGGACUCAAGCCGGCGCCCCUUCCCGUUCCCUCCCUUCCUGCGCUUGCCUCCCAAUCCAGGCACGGCUGCACUGGCGAGCUGCAGCUCUCUUCCGUUUACACGUCCACAGACUCGGGGAGGCGGAGGAUGUGGAAUAUGGCACGUACGGGUGCCUCUGGUCUCUCUGCUACUACGGCACCCCCUCCCAACCCACACUCUGUCUCUCCCUCCAAGUUCACCACAGGACAGCAAAGGAGAUGUGUUAAGCAGGAAGCUUAUCGUCAAGGGAGGCAAGUUCUCACCAGCUCAGAUAAGAGGAAAUAGAAGAGGGGACCCAGGCUGGUUCAGCUGGUAAAGCAUGAGACUCUUGAUCUCAGGAUCAUGAGUUCAAGCCCCACAUCCAGUAUGGAGCCUACUUAAAAAAAAAAAAAGAAGAAGAAGAAGAAGAAAAAG